GUGGGGAAUAUUGGACAAUGGGCGAAAGCCUGAUCCAGCCAUGCAGCGUGUGUGAAGAAGGUCUUCGGAUUGUAAAGCACUUUAAGUUGGGAGGAAGGGCAGUAAGUUAAUACCUUGCUGUUUUGACGUUACCGACAGAAUAAGCACCGGCUAACUUCGUGCCAGCAGCCGCGGUAAUACGAAGGGUGCAAGCGUUAAUCGGAAUUACUGGGCGUAAAGCGCGCGUAGGUGGUUUUGUAAGUUGGAGGUGAAAUCCCCGGGCUCAACCUGGGAACUGCCUCCAAAACUGCAUGACUAGAGUACGGUAGAGGGUAGUGGAAUUUCCUGUGUAGCGGUGAAAUGCGUAGAUAUAGGAAGGAACACCAGUGGCGAAGGCGACUACCUGGACUGAUACUGACACUGAGGUGCGAAAGCGUGGGGAGCAAACAGGAUUAGAUACCCGAGUAGUCC
rnacentral:rRNA from 1 species